rnacentral:rRNA from 1 species
AUUGAACGCUGGCGGCAGGCCUAACACAUGCAAGUCGAGCGGAGCGGCGGACGGGUGAGUAAUGCCUAGGAAUCUGCCUGGUAGUGGGGGAUAACGUCCGGAAACGGGCGCUAAUACCGCAUACUAUCAGAUGAGCCUAGGUCGGAUUAGCUAGUUGGUGGGGUGAAUGCCUGCCAAGGCGACGAGCCGGAACUGGUCUGAAAGGAUGAUCAGUCACACGAGAGCUGAGACACGGUCCAGACGCCUACGGGAGGCAGCAGUGGGGAAUAUUGGACAAUGGGCGAAAGCCUGGUCCAGCCAUGCAGCGUGUGUGAAGGAGGUCUUCGGAUUGUAAGGCACUUUAAGUUGGGAGGCGUUACCAACAGAAUAAGCACCGGCUAACUUCGUGCCAGCAGCCGCGGUAAUAC